ACGGGAGGCAGCCGUGGGGAAUAUUAGGCAAUGGGGGCAACCCUGACCUAGCAACGCCGCGUGAAGGAAGAAGGCCUUCGGGUUGUAAACUUCUUUUAUGAGGGACGAAGAAGAUGCCGGUACCUCAUGAAUAAGCCACGGCUAACUACGUGCCAGCAGCCGCGGUAAUACGUAGGUGGAAAGCGUUGUCCGGAUUUACUGGGUGUAAAGGGCGCGUAGGCGGGAUUGCAAGUCAGAUGUGAAAUCCAUGGGCUCAACCCAUGAACUGCAUUUGAAACUGUAAUUCUUGAGUAUCGGAGAGGCAAGCGGAAUUCCUAGUGUAGCGGUGAAAUGCGUAGAUAUUAGGAGGAACACCAGUGGCGAAGGCGGCUUGCUGGACGAAAACUGACGCUGAGGAGCGAAAGCGUGGGGAGCAAACAGGAUUAGAUACCCUGGUA
rnacentral:rRNA from 1 species